rnacentral:rRNA from 1 species
GAUGAACGCUGGCGGCGUGCCUAAUACAUGCAAGUCGAGCGAACAGACGAGGAGCUUGCUCCUCUGACGUUAGCGGCGGACGGGAGAGUAACACGUGGAUAACCUACCUAUAAGACUGGGAUAACUUCGGGAAACCGGAGCUAAUACCGGAUAAUAUCUUGAACCGCAUGGUUCAAUAGUGAAAGACGGUUUUGCUGUCACUUAUAGAUGGAUCCGCGCCGCAUUAGCUAGUUGGUAAGGUAACGGCUUACCAAGGCAACGAUGCGUAGCCGACCUGUGAGGGGGAUCGGCGACACUGGAAGUGAGACACGGUCCAGACGCCUACGGUAGGCAGCAGUAGGGAAUCGUCCGCAAUGGGCGAAAGCCUUGCGGAGCAACGCCGCGUGAGUGGUGAAGGUCUUCGGAGCGUAAAACUCUGUUAUUAGUGAAGAACAAAUGUGUAAGUAACUAUGCACGGCUUGACGGUAACUAGUCAGAAAGCCACGGCUAACUACGUG